UGUCACUUGGCAUGCUGCAAAGCGGCACAGAUCAGGGAUUGUGUUACCGGCGGGUUGCUGAGAAUGCUUAAACCGUGCAAGAACUGAUUUAGUCGUUUAGAAUAUCAGCAACGAAUCACUGUGACAAUAGUUCAUCAUUUUCAUUCACUGUAUACCCUGAAAAGAAGUGUAAGGAGUAGGAAGAUGGAACCUCAACAGACUGACAAUCAGGUUGUUAACGGUGUUACGCCAGACAAGUCAACUAACGUUAACGUUACCGCUACAAACGAGAGACAUUCAAGCAACGACGCCACCGAACAACAGCCGGCCAGGGGGACAGAUGUGGCCCGAGCCCGAUGGACCAUUCUUCGGCAGGUGCUGAAACAGAAGCAGGUGGACAGCGAGAAGGUUCCGCAGGUGUCCGUGCGAAGGUUCUCCUCUUUCAACCUGUUCUCCAGGAGCAGGGUCACAACCCCUGACCCUGACAACCCCUCCGAGGGACAGUGGGUGGACUACCAAAGUGCCUCCUUUCCUCAGUAUAGUGCCUUCCUCAGAGACAACCUCGGGCCCAUCAGAGUGACUGAGGUGCUCAAUAGCUUUGACAACACCGGAAAUGUCUGUGUUUGGCCGUCAGAGGAAGUGAUGGCCCACUACUGCCUAAAGAAGAGACACAUGUUCAGGGGCCUUUCUGUCUGUGAACUAGGGGGAGGGAUGACAUGUCUCGCUGGUCUUAUGAUUGCGGUUUGUGCUGACGCAAGAGAAGUCAUCCUAUCAGAUGGAAACGAGAAGGCCAUUCAGAACGUGCGCGGCGUGAUUGAGAGGAACCGACAAGCUGGACUCUUCACCUGCGCUGACGUCUCCAGCCGGGUGGUUCGGUGGGACAGUGAGAGUGAUGUGUCUGCACUUGAGAGCUGCUUCGACGUGGUGAUGUGCGCCGACUGCCUGUUUCUGGACCAGUACAGAGCCAGCUUAGUAGAUGCUGUGAAGAGAUUACUACGACCCAACGGUACGGCGCUAGUGUUUGCCCCUCUGAGAGGCGAGACGUUGGCCCAGUUCCGCUUGCUGGCUGAGAGGGCGGGGUUCCACGUGUGCCAGUACCUCAACUACGACCAGGAAGUGUGGGACGUCCACACCAGGAUGCAGAGCGAGGGGAAGGACUCGUACGAUGAGAGCCUCCACUACCCUCACCUCCUGACGCUCACCCAGGGGUGCGGAUCUACCCUCUCCCUCUGAUGCCACCUCACCUCUGCCAACCCCCGGACCCAUGCCACCACCACCACCGCCACGCCACCACCUCCAUGCCAGCUGUGCCACACUGUGCCCUGGCACCUCCAUGUGAAUGUUGGUGCCAGUGCAUCAGGUUGCCCUCACUUUGAAUCCCUCACCUGCAGUAUAUGCUAUUGUGGUGGCACGGAUACCGGGGAAAUGUUUUUUUUUUUUUUUUUGAAAAAUAAAGGGGUUUGGUGACACUUUAUUUUGAUAGCCAAUUUCAGCACUCUGCCCAUGCAGUCAGUGUAUAGGUAUGUGUGUGUGUGUGUGUGUGUGUGUGUGUGUGUGUGUGUGUGUGUGUUUCAGUACUCUGACCAUUCAGUUCAAAGAGCGUCAUGUAUAAACCAGGAAAUAGUCCUGAGAAGUUCAAACUCGAGCAGUCUGUUGUUAAUCCAAACCCUAACCUCACUUUAAUACUGGCCAUACCUCACACAAGGUACCACCAGAAGGAUAUAUAGUGGUUAGUAGAAUACAGGUGUGUGUGUGUGUGUGUGUAGGCCUGUGUGUGUGUGUGUGGGUGUGUGUGUGUGUGUGUGUGUGUGUGUGUGUGUGGGAACCACCAGAAGGAUAGGUAGUGGUUAGUAGAAUAGUGUAGAGGUGGUGUGUGUGUGUGUGUGUGUGUAGGCCUGUGCGUGUGUUUGUGUGUACUGUGUGUGUGUGUGUGUGUGUGUGUGUGUGUGUGUGUGUGUGUGUGUGUGUGUGUUUGCUAGAUGAGGGUUUUGGCUGGGCACUGUGUACCUCAGAGUUUUGAUUUAGUUUUGACCAGAUCCAUUUCUGUCACUGUGUCCAUGUUCAGUGUGUGUGUGUGUGUGUGUGUGUGUGAAAUGAAAAGUUCCCAGCGUUACAGAAGAGAGGCCGCCAGACUGACCAUGUCAUGACCCCACAACCGCUGCGUGUGUAUAGGUGUGUGUGUGUGUAUAGGUGUGUGUGUGUGUGUGUAUAGGUGUGCGU